rnacentral:lncRNA from 1 species
CUCCCCUUCUCCUUUUGUCGAACCUGCUCUCCUUCUCUUUACCGCCAUUUGCCGUCAAUUUCCAUCAUUGCCAUGCUUAUUGUCACCAGCAUCGGCCUUCAUUGAUCUCCCUUAGGUGUUUUCCUUCUCUGUCGUGCGCUGGGCUCUCCUCAGGUGUUUUCUUUCUCCUCCCUUGCCGUCCAGAGCAUGCCAACCUCCUCCCCUUCUCCUUGCUGCCAUCUGCCACCGAUCUCCACCAGCACCAUGCUCCCCAUUGUCACCGACGUUGGCCUUCACCAAUCUCCCUCAAGUGA